rnacentral:rRNA from 1 species
AACGAACGCUGGCGGCAUGCCUAACACAUGCAAGUCGAACGAACCCUUCGGGGUUAGUGGCGCACGGGUGCGUAACGCGUGGGGAUCUGCCCAAAGGUUCGGAAUAACUCAGAGAAAUUUGAGCUAAUACCGGAUAAUGUCUUCGGACCAAAGAUUUAUUGCCUUUGGAUGAACCCGCGUAGGAUUAGCUUGUUGGUGGGGUAAAGGCCUACCAAGGCGACGAUCCUUAGCUGGUCUGAGAGGAUGAUCAGCCACACUGGGACUGAGACACGGCCCAGACUCCUACGGGAGGCAGCAGUGGGGAAUAUUGGACAAUGGGCGAAAGCCUGAUCCAGCAAUGCCGCGUGAGUGAUGAGGGCCUUAGGGUUGUAAAGCUCUUUU